CUUCGGAGAUAGUGGCGCACGGGUGCGUAACGCGUGGGAAUCUGCCCUUGGGUUCGGAAUAACUUCUGGAAACGGAAGCUAAUACCGGAUGAUGACGUAAGUCCAAAGAUUUAUCGCCCAAGGAUGAGCCCGCGUAGGAUUAGCUAGUUGGUGAGGUAAAGGCUCACCAAGGCGACGAUCCUUAGCUGGUCUGAGAGGAUGAUCAGCCACACUGGGACUGAGACACGGCCCAG
rnacentral:rRNA from 1 species